GAUGAAGAACGCAGCGAAAUGCGAUACGUAAUGUGAAUUGCAGAAUUCAGUGAAUCAUCGAGUCUUUGAACGCACAUUGCGCCCCCUGGUAUUCCGGGGGGCAUGCCUGUCCGAGCGUCAUUGCUGCCCUCAAGCACGGCUUGUGUGUUGGGCCUCCGUCCUCCUCCCGGGGGACGGGCCCGAAAGGCAGCGGCGGCACCGCGUCCGGUCCUCGAGCGUAUGGGGCUUCGUCACCCGCUCUUGUAGGNCCGGCCGGCGCUUGCCGACACAUCAAUCUUUUUUCCAGGUUGACCUCGGAUCAGGUAGGGAUACCCGCUGAACUUAAGCAUAUCAAUAAGCGGAGGA
rnacentral:misc_RNA from 1 species